UUAAUCUGUAAUUAUAUUUAUUUUGCACACACCCAAUUUUAAUAUUAUUUGUGAGAGAAAGUAGCUCUCAUGGUAAUUCCACCCUAUUCUCGCGAGAGUUAGAGCGAGAGCGAGAGAAUGCGCCCAGACAUGCAGCAAUGACGAGCAGAUGCGAAAUAUAGAAGAAAGUCACAACGGUUGUUAACUCACUUAGGAGCAAAGAAAAACUCUGGAAACUAUACCUACUGGAAGCGGAGAAGUGUUUGAAGACCUGUGAGUUGUUUUCGGCAGAGACUGUGUUUCAGAAAAAAAGAUUCUCCACAAACAUCUGCACACGUCGGUAACAUCGUCAGGAUGGAGACCAUGGAGCAGUUUGACGAGGAGGAAGUGCAUCUCAUUGACAACAGUAACUUUGAACGCAUGAAGGAGGUAUGAGGUUCAACAAGGCAGCAACAGAAGACCUCAUCAAGCAAACCAGCGCUGGCCAUCUGAAGCAUGCACCACAGAGACGUCAGCAGUGAGGCGAGGCACCUGGUCGGUGAUGUGGCAGCCUUAGUUUCCUUUUUUAUCCUGUUGUUUCGUUUUGCAUCCUACAACACACAUCUCCACUCUCCACUCACACAACAUGCACCUCAUGCUUACUUUACUGACAUCCACAUCCCAUGUUUUGUAAUCUUUUGUUGGACAUAUUUAAGUUGUCGUUUCUUAUUAAUAAACGUAUUUUGUUAUUCCUUAUCAUGGUGUGUCUCCCUCCUUGUCAUGGCUGUAAGAGCCAGGCUGUCACAGUUACUAUUUGAAUUUUACUUUGUAUUGCAUGCUCUGUUUUAAAAAUGGAAAAAAAAUGUUCCUAUUUUAUUGCUCUCUAAAAACCAGUGAAUUUUGAUUAUACUGAAUUGUGAUUUCUUUUGAAAAUGCAGUCAAAAUAAUUGUCAUGAAAUGCUAUUUUGUAUUGUUUGCAUACAUGGAGCAUCAAGGAACUUCAGUCUGGUAUGGGUGAGAUUGUCGCAUUUGCCUGAAGAUCGGCUUUGUUUACUGUUCAAGUCUUACUUUUCAAGAACUCUCUUAAAAUGCCACCAUUGCUGGGUGUUAAACUGUGUUUAACUCUUUGCUUUGAAAAUCGUCAAUCUUAA